ensembl:snoRNA
GACCUCUGGGUGUUUACCACAGGCUGUGUUCUUACACUGACUAUAUAGAAAGAGGAGGCAUAUACACCUCAGCCCAGGCCUGUGCCUAGUCUGUAUUGUGAAUAGGGAGACAAGG